AGCUCCAAUAGCGUAUAUUUAAGUUGUUGCAGUUAAAAAGCUCGUAGUUGGAUUUCGGUUGAGAACGGCCGGUCCGCCGUUUGGUGUGCACUGGCUGGUUUCAACUUCCUGUAGAGGACGCGCUCUGGCUUCACGGCUGGACGCGGAGUCUACGUGGUUACUUUGAAAAAAUUAGAGUGUUCAAAGCGGGCUUACGCUUGAAUAUUUCAGCAUGGAAUAACACUAUAGGACUCCUGUCCUAUUUCGUUGGUCUCGGGACGGGAGUAAUGAUUAAGAGGAACAGUUGGGGGCAUUCGUAUUUCAUUGUCAGAGGUGAAAUUCUUGGAUUUAUGAAAGACGAACUUCUGCGAAAGCAUUUGCCAAGGAUGUUUUCAUUA
rnacentral:rRNA from 1 species